AAAUGGUGGUGGUUGGGGUCUGUCUUCUUACCUGCUGGAGGCCCUGCCAGGUGCUAGCCAGAAGCAGUCAUUAUUGCUUAGGCAGUCGUUGUGGGAGGCUGGGUGUGGCUCUCGCGGAGCCAGAAUGAAGGAUAGCAACUCAUUAACACACACACACCCACCCCUAAACACACACGUGCACCUACACACAGCUGGGAGUCCUAAGGAAGAGACCACACCUUUUUUGUUUUUUGCUUUUUUACCACCUUCAUUAUGAGUCUAAAGUCAAUUCAAUUAACCAGCUAUUUGAAAUUUUUACAUCUAACAGGAGCUGAGAAGAUCCAGCUGGUGGGACUGAACUGACCUUCAUAUCUCAGCGAUGAGUCCUGUAGACUGCAGGCUCCACGGCAGUUGCAGCUCCCAGGGCUUCAGAUUGGAGCUGCCUGUGACAUGCAGAGGUGGAAGCACAGCCUCAGCUGUGGUGGACGGCAGCCUCUUUCAGCCCCCAGGUGCAUAACAAAGGCUGUCUUGAUUGUAUCUGUGAGAGUGCCAUGAUUUGGGGUUUUCUCUGUCGGUUUGGACCAGAUCAGAAAGCAAUUGGGACUAUUGUGUCUCUCAUGGAAACCCAAGGUGGGAGAAAGAAGCAGAAGGAGAUCCUGGAACCAAAAACACUUCAGCAAUGAAGACUGGAUUUUCUCUGAAAUGAACAACAAAAUAAAAUCUCUCCUGUAGAUCUC
rnacentral:lncRNA from 1 species